CCAUCUGUUUAUGAAUACCUUGCAUCGACGUUGCUAGCGAAAACACGCGACUUAAUAGCAGAUAGAUACGUUUCAGGAAAAUUCUGCGGAACAGUUGCAAAUGUAUACGUGUAUACGUAUGCAUUAUCAGUAGCCGCGUAGAUGGCGCGACUCGCCCUUGAAAAAUAGUCUCGACGAGACACGAGGCGAGAAGAGAUUGCACUUUCUCCGAAUCGUGGACCGGCGUUCGAGCACGUUCUGGCCCGGCGCCAACUUCACUCGAAAAGUGGAGGAGACACACCGCGGUAGCGAUGAGCUCAAACACGCGUUGAACUUGAUCCCAUCGCUACACGUUCAACGAAGCUGGGGAGCAACUGUGGCGAAUUUUCUUGGCGAAUGCAUCGGCCUUGGGGCGAGGCUGUGAAUGGAUAAUUGCAGCGCGGAUUGUUACGCAAUUUCCUAUUUUUAUGACGAGAGCUAAGAGAUAUGGAACCUACGUAAUUCGUUUUGCCAAGUAAAACUUAUGGCAGGUAUAGAAGAAUUUUAGAUGGAAAAGGCUAGUAGUUGGCGAGAAAGCGGAUUAAAAGUAAACGUAAUCGAAGGAGUACGUUGAUUUCUAUGGAAAUGUAAUUACAGGGCGAUUCGAAAA
rnacentral:misc_RNA from 1 species